rnacentral:lncRNA from 1 species
UUGAGAAUUCUCCAGGCACUUGGUUGUAGAAGGUAGAAUGGAAAUUACAACAAUAAAAUCCUAAUUUUAAUAGAAUACUAACAAUGCUAAAUAAGCUUUAAUCAAAUUUAGAGAAACUUCAAAGGAAUUCCAAAGAAAUAAUAAAAAAUCUUAAAGAAAUAUUAGAAUGAUUACAAACAUAUAUCAAAUACAUCUCAAUUCAAUCUUAAUUUAAUCCUAGUUGAAAACUUAUUGGAAUUUAUUCAAACUUUAGGCCAAAAACUAAUUAAAUCUUAAAUCCUAAAUAAACUCAAAUAAAAUCCUAAAUAAACUCAAAUAAAAUCCUAAAUCCUAAAUCAAAUCUUGAUCAAAUCCUAACCAAACCUUAAACCCUAAAUCAAAUCCUAAAUCCUAAAUCAAACCCUAAUCAAAGUCUAAACUUUAAACCCUAAACCAAAUCCUAAUCCUAAAUCAAAUCUUAACCAAAUCCUAAUAAAAUCCUAAUCCUAAAUUAAAUCCUAACCAAAUCCUAACUCUAAAUCAAAUCCUAACCAAAUCCUAAUCUUAAAUCAAAUCUUGAUCAAAUCCUAGUAAUUUCUACAACAAAACUAAACCUCAACAACUAAUGAAUGAA